rnacentral:tRNA from 1 species
UCCCUGAUGGUUCAGAUGGUAAAGAAUCUGCCUACAAUGCAGGAGACCCGGGUUCGAUUCCUGGGUUGGGAA